AAUGUCUUUCUAGUUGUCGAUGGCUAUUGCACUUUCGCGCCAAAACACAGAUUUUCUUCCAUUGUCAGCGUACUCAUCAGACAAAAGCUCAAUAAGUGGUGCCUUUAUCAGAAUUUUAUGCUUUUAUUUCUCUAUUUCGCCGAAAGCCAUCAUCAGGAUUCAGUGGUUCAUUAUACUUACUCGAUAGCCGACAGGUCUUCUCUCAGAAAAUGAACGACGUAAUCAACAGUACAGUGGCCAUAAGAACUAACGAAUCUCAAGUUUAUAUCCUCACUGAAUAUAGUUCUGGUACUUCCAAACGUAUUGGCAUUUCUUUGAUCAACAGCUUGUAGAAGCCAAAGCUGACAGAGGAUCCUGAAGACCGCUUGGUUUUGUUAGACUCAUGGAUAAAGAAAAAAACUCAAGUCAUUAUCAGCUGGCCCCAGGACAGCACCUCUAGUUGGAACUUGGACAAGUAUGACAAGCCAGUCGAGUGUGAUUACCGUCCAGCUAUAGUUCUAUUUUACUCUGAUGACAAACAUAGUGCUGGUAAAGUC